rnacentral:rRNA from 1 species
UACGGGGGGGGCAAGCGUUGUUCGGAAUUGCUGGGCGUAAAGGGCUCGUAGGUGGCCAACUAAGUCAGACGUGAAAUCCCUCAGCUUAACUGGGGAACUGCGUCUGAUACUGGAUGGCUUGAGUUUGGGAGAGGGACGCGGAAUUCCAGGUGUAGCGGUGAAAUGCGUAGAUAUCUGGAGGAACACCGGUGGCGAAGGCGGCGUCCUGGACCAACACUGACACUGAUGAGCGAAAGCCAGGGGAGCAAACGGG